rnacentral:tRNA from 1 species
GGGAAUGUAGCUUAGUGGUAGAGUGCUUGCCUAGCAUGCAAGAAGCCCUGGGUUCCAUUCCUC